CGGAUAUAAAGAGACCGAACAGGAGGGAUGAAAAGGAUGUUGAAGAGGGAGAAGAAUUUUAUGGCGGAGGAGCUUAACUAACCCGCAAACGGAACUCCGGUUACGCAGCGACGACCUGGGCGAAUUCACGAGCCACAGGAGAGCCUGGAUUCGACCGUGGAACAGUUAGCUUCUGUCGCUCAGUCCCUCUGGUUCUGAUUUUCCAUUCAACGUUGCCUCACGGUUUCUGCGAAAUAAAAUCUCUGGAUAGCGCGAACGGAACUCCACCAAAUCCUGCACCACAUUACGCUUUUCCUCUCUACUUUUUGUGCCUUUGUUCUUAAUUGAACGCGAGUCCCUCUAUGGGAAGAAUAGUUUAUUUUACUCGUUCUCUUACUCGUACGAUUUUCAGCCAAGCUCGCGCCAAUCUAUCGAAGAAAGCAUACAAUUGUACAGGAUUAAACUGAUCCCAAGUAAUCUCGCGUAAUAAUAUCGUAUACACGAUAUAGCUUUAUAAUACUGAUGAGUUAGAAACUAGAGGAUUAUAAGGUUCUUUGUAUACCAGCGUGCUGUUUGCGCCGAACGUAUUUCAUGUUAGGGAUUAUAAAAAGCACAAUGAAUUAUUCAAGUGAUGCUAUUUGAGAACCGCUGUUACAAGACUCCCUUGUAAAACGAGAAGCCAAACGUAAUCCCAAUCAGCUCUCGCGCCUACACGAGGGAAUCUUCCUUCAUCGUGAGCUAACAAUAAGUCACGAAUGGCUUCACGGAUUAGCAGUAAAACCAGGAAAUCUUCACGGAGGAUAUACACGCGUGUACAAACAACUACGUACAACUUCAUUCGACGCAAUUACACGAAUUCAAAUGCGCAAAUCCUCCCUCUUAGCUUUUGUCCGUAUAAAGAUAGAAAGAAAAA